CAAUCCAGGUCGGUUUCUAUCUAUGACGCCCCCUUCUUCAGUACGAAAGGACAAAGAAGGAGGGACCAAUGCCACAGGCACGUCCCACAGCCAAGCUGAACAGAACUAAAGCUAGUUGGCCACCAACAAGCUCGAAGACAACGACUAUUA
rnacentral:rRNA from 1 species